rnacentral:rRNA from 1 species
UACGGGGGGGGGCAAGCGUUGUUCGGAAUUACUGGGCGUAAAGGGCGCGUAGGCGGCCUGCUAAGUCACACGUGAAAUCCCUCGGCUCAACCGGGGAACUGCGUGUGAUACUGGCGGGCUUGAAUUCGGGAGAGGGAUGUGGAAUUCCAGGUGUAGCGGUGAAAUGCGUAGAGAUGUGGAGGAACACCGAUGGCGAAGGCAGCCUUCUGGGCCAACACUGACGCUCAUGCACGAAAGCGUGGGGAGCAAACAGG